rnacentral:rRNA from 1 species
AAUUGGAUUCAACGCCGGAAAUCUUACCGGGACCGACAGCAAUAUGAAGGCCAGGCUGAAGACUUUGCCGGAUUAGCUGAGAGGUGGUGCAUGGCCGUCGUCAGUUCGUACUGUGAAGCAUCCUGUUAAGUCAGGCAACGAGCGAGACCCACGCCCACAGUUGCCAGCGUACUCUCUGGAGUGACGGGUACACUGUGGGACCGCCGCUGCUAAAGCGGAGGAAGGAAUGGGCAACGGUAGGUCAGUAUGCCCCGAAUAUCCCGGGCUACACGCGAGCUACAAUGGUUGGUACAAUGGGUAUCUACCCCGAAAGGGGACGGGAAUCUCCUAAAACCAAUCUUAGUUCGGAUUGAGGGCUGCAACUCGCCCUCAUGAAGCUGGAAUCCGUAGUAAUCGCGUUUCAACAGAACGCGGUGAAUACGUCCCUGCUCCUU